GAUGAACGCUGGCGGCGUGCCUAAUACAUGCAAGCCGAGCGAACAGACUAGGAGCUUGCUCCUCUUACGUUAGCGGCGGACGGGUGAGUAACACGUGGAUAACCUACCUAUAAGACUGGGAUAACUUCGGGAAACCGGAGCUAAUACCGGAUAAUAUCUUUAACCGCAUGGUUCAAUAGUGAAAGACGGUUUUGCUUUCACUUAUAGAUGGAUCCGCGCCGCAUUAGCUAGUUGGUAAGGUAACGGCUUACCAAGGCAACGAUGCGUAGCCGACCUGAGAGGGUGAUCGGCCACACUGGAACUGAGACACGGUCCAGACUCCUACGGGAGGCAGCAGUAGGGAAUUUUCCGAAAUGGGCGAAAGCCUGACGGAGCAACGCCGCGUGAGUGAUGAAGGUCUUCGGAUCGUAAAACUCUGUUAUUAGGGAAGAACAAAUGUGUAAGUAAAUAUGAACGUCUUGACGGUACCUAAGCAGAAAGCAACGGCUAACUACGU
rnacentral:rRNA from 1 species